rnacentral:rRNA from 1 species
GAUGAACGCUGGCGGCGUGCCUAAUACAUGCAAGUCGAGCGAACGGACGAGAAGCUUGCUCCUCUGCUGUUAGCGGCGGACGGGCGAGUAACACGUGGAUAACCUACUUAUAAGACUGGGAGAACUUCGGGAAACAGGAGCUACUACCGGAUAAUAUUUUGAACCGCAUGGUUCAAAGGUGAAAGACGGUCUUGCUGUCACUUAUAGAUGGAUCCGCGCUGCAUUAGCUAGUUGGUAAGGUAACGGCCUACCAAGGCAACGAUGCAUAGCCGACCUGAGAGGGUGAUCGGCCACACUGGAACUGAGACACGGUCCAGACUCCUACGGGAGGCAGCAGUAGGGAAUCUUCGGCAAUGGGCGAAAGCCUGACGGAGCAACGCCGCGUGAGUGAUGAAGGUCUUCGGAUCGUAAAACUCUGUUAUUGGGGAAGAACAUAUGUGUAAUUAACUGCGCACAUCUUGACGGUACCUAAUCAGAAAGCCCCGGCUAACUACGUG